rnacentral:tRNA from 1 species
CAGUACGUGACGGAAUGGUUAACGUGUCCGCUUUGGGAGCGGGAAAUUGAAGGUUCGAGUCCUUCCGUACUGA